rnacentral:sRNA from 1 species
AGCUGGGACCCACUCCGGGCUUGGGGACCCGGCGGGCAGGAGAAGCGCGGGCUCCCGGCGCGGCCUGGAAGGAGCGAGAAAGCAAAAGGCAUUUUUGGUCGAAGAGAGCUGAAGUAAUGAGAAGACAUCAUGGAGGCCCAGUCCCACAGCUCCACGACCACUGAAAAGAAAAAAGUUGAGAAUUCCAUAGUGAAGUGCUCCACUCGAACAGAUGUGAGCGAGAAAGCCGUUGCCUCCAGCACCACUUCUAAUGGUGAGCAGCACAGGGAUUACCAGCAGCCCAGCCUGGAGUCAUUUCUGUGUUCUCUGCAUUCCUUGUGAAUUGAGCGUUUGCACCUGGACCAGUGUUUGUUCUAGGAGAGGCUAAAGAAAGCAAAUGGAGCAGGGGCGGGGGGACGGCGGGGGGACAUGGAAUGUAGUAAUCUCUAUUUUGGCACUCAACCUACACGUUGACUUCCAAACUUUCUAAUUUGAGAUGUAAAUGUGAUAGGUUAUUUAUUAUCAGAAGUUCCUGUUUUGGCAUUUUGGAAAUCAUCUUGACUAGUCUGGCAAGAGUUCAAAAUGCUUUGUGUUGCAUAUGGAU